rnacentral:rRNA from 1 species
UACAGGGGGUGCAAACGUUGCUCGGAAUCAUUGGGCGUAAAGCGCACGUAGGCGGUUCGUUAUGUCGGAUGUGAAAGCCCUUGGCUUAACCGAGGAAGUGCAUCCGAAACUGGCGAGCUAGAGUACGAAAGAGGAUCGCGGAAUUCCCGGUGUAGAGGUGAAAUUCGCAGAUAUCGGGAGGAACACCGGUGGCGAAGGCGGUUCUCUGGGCCUUACCUGACACUGAGGAGCGAAAGCGUGGGGAGCGAACAGG